UCUCCGGGACUCCGAGUCCGGGAUCCCGCUCGGGCUGUGUCCGGGAGUCUCGCCGCGGACGAAUGGGCGAGCGGCAGCCUUGGUCCCGACUCCGGGAGGGAGCGGCGGCAGCUCCGCGCAUCACGGCCUCCCGCCCGCCUUCUCCUCGGCUCCCCCUGCUGGCGGGAGGAGGGCUGCUCCGCGGGGCGCGCCCGGGGCUCCCGGAGCGGAAUGGGCGAAUUUAACACCCUUUGAAGACCUUCCCUUUACAUUUUGGUGGACUCCUGCGAAGUUGUGGCAGAAGUUUAUUUUCCUAUUUCUGACUUUGUAAUAAAAAUAAACUAGGAGUCAAAGAUAUCAGCUCCUCUUCAAGUUAGAAAGCUGAGACUUCACCUCAUCCUCCGCAAGCGGGAACUCUCUCCAGGCUCCGUCCAGUACUCACCUUACAAUAACAAGGGCCACCUUUUGUUGGACACUGGGCAGGGCGCUGUGUAGACACUUUAUAGACAUGACCUCCUUUAAUAUACAACCCCAGGACUGUUAAUAUCCCCAUUUUAUCAAGGAGUGAACUGAGGUUCAGAGAAGUUAAGUGUCAUCUAAAGUCACACAGCUAAAUGGCAGACUUGGGAUGAGCUCCCUUGUCUGUCUGACUCUAGACAGGAACUUUUUGUGGCAAUGGAAUGUUGCGAACAGAACUUUAGGUAACCUAACUGCAGGCACCUGGGCAGAGAGUCUCACUCUCUAAUUACUAUUCUUCUUGAGCUAUUUCCUUGAGAUCUGACCCCAAGAGUGAAGUCUGUGAACCCAAAGGCAUAGGAAGACAUCGUCUUGUCAGGCCAGGUUUCCUCAGGACCACUGGGCUGAUUCACACCCCACAUGAGUGAGUUCCUGUUUCCCCACAGACCAGCUGUGGGCUUCAUCAUUUUAACUGAUUUUUGCUAAAUUUGUUGGUAAGAACUGGGAUCUUCUUGGCUGUAAUAAUCAUAUUUGCGUGUCAUUAAGGAUUAUAAUGACUGAAAUGUUCCUUAGUAUUUAAA